GGUGGCUCUUAGAUAAUGCACCCUGGUAUUGGGCUCCCUCCCCUCUGGUUCCAAGUGUGUCACCUGAGAACUACA
rfam:Myotis davidii contig139401, whole genome shotgun sequence.